GAAUAUUGGACAAUGGAGGAGACUCUGAUCCAGCCAUGCCGCGUGUAGGAAGAAUGCCCUAUGGGUUGUAAACUACUUUUAUACAGGAAGAAACACUGGUAUGUAUACCAGCUUGACGGUACUGUAAGAAUAAGGACCGGCUAACUCCGUGCCAGCAGCCGCGGUAAUACGGAGGGUCCGAGCGUUAUCCGGAAUCAUUGGGUUUAAAGGGUCCGCAGGCGGUCGAUUAAGUCAGAGGUGAAAUCCCAUAGCUCAACUAUGGAACUGCCUUUGAUACUGGUUGACUUGAGUCAUAUGGAAGUAGAUAGAAUGUGUAGUGUAGCGGUGAAAUGCAUAGAUAUUACACAGAAUACCGAUUGCGAAGGCAGUCUACUACGUAUGUACUGACGCUGAGGGACGAAAGCGUGGGGAGCGAACAGGAUUAGAUACCCUGGUAGUCCACGCCGUAAACGAUGGACACUAGUUGUUGGGAUUUUAUCUC
rnacentral:rRNA from 1 species